rnacentral:lncRNA from 1 species
ACUUUCUCCAUAUUCACCUAACUCCCAUUCCAGCUUUCUCCAUAUUUACUACUCCCUCGUCUGCCCAUAUUAUCGAAGCAUUGCUUUCUUUCGCCACUCCCAAAAAUGAAACCCUAGCUUUCGCCCCCUCUCCCCUCUUAUCUCUGGACACCAAAAUUUCAAAAUCCGACGAAAUACUGACAGCGAAAAAGGCGACAUAUUCGUACGGUGGUGGAGGAGCCGGAGUGAAGUUCCAGUCGGCGACCCAGCGGCGCGACGGCGCCCCUCCCAGUCCCCGUCUCCGUUUUCCGCCGUACCCUCUCACUCCUUCCGCGCGCCUCCCACAGCCGACGGCGCGACGCCUCCGAGCUCCAGGCCUCCACCGGACCACCGCAUAGCACUGCAGGCCUCCACCGCGCCGCCUCCGAGCUCCAGCAUGUAUGCUUCUUCAGAUCUUCUUCUUCUUCUUUUUUCUUUUUUCUUUUUUUUUUACAGAGUUCUUUAAAUAUUCUUGGUUAAUACUCUUUUGGCUGCUCAAAAUUCCCUCACUUUCCUUCUCAUGCUGGUUAUUAGUAUAUUACUUUCCUUCAAGUUGAUUUCGCUUGAUUUUAGCUCAAGAUUUUGAUGUGGUUUUGACCUUUUAAUCUUUUAUUAACUGAUUUUCUGCUUAUAGUCUUGGUUACUUGGUUUUGAGACCAGAGCAUGAUAUACAUUUUGGUUUUGAGUACUUAGUUUUCGAAUUUUUUUUUAAGAAAAUCUGCAAUUUAGGGUACCUGAAUACCCGAAUCGGGUAUUAGGGUACCCAAUUUUUUAAUCGGGUUUAGGGUCGGGUAUAGAGUUUUAGGCUUAUUUGGGAUCGGGUACCCGAUUUUUUCGGAUCCGACUUGAUUUCCAGCCGUAGUUUUUUCGUUUUUGAGUUAUUUAUUUAAAUUUUGUGUUUAUGGUAUUAUUUUGUUAGAUUUAUGGAUAUCUACACAAAAGGGUUCUAAAAAUAACGGCUUUUUCUUUUUGCAGAUUAGUACGAAUCUGCUAUAAAAAAUUAGCAAUCAACUACUCUUUUGUAGACUUGCUUCACUCGAUCGAUAUUUGGUGAUAUGUGUUUUAUUUUGCUUUCUGGCAUUUUGGAGCUAAUUUGAGUUAAUUUGCAGAUUCCCUGCUACCAUCUCUCACGUCACACUAUUUUCACAAUUAUGAUGAGUUUGGCUUUAGAUGUAAAGCAUUAAAUAAAAUGAAGAAAGCAUCCACCUAAAUAUACAUAAUGAACGCUUUAAUGCUCUUCAGAUAAAUAAAUGAAAAACUAAUGGAAAUGAAAGAUAUCC